rnacentral:rRNA from 1 species
UACGGAGGAUCCAAGCGUUAUCCGGAUUCACUGGGUUUAAAGGGUGCGUAGGUGGAAUGACAAGUCAGUGGUGAAAACCUGCAGCUUAACUGUAGAACUGCCAUUGAUACUGUUAUUCUUGAGUACAUUUGAUGUGAGUGGAAUGUGUCGUGUAGCGGUGAAAUGCUUAGAUAUGACACAGAACACCAAUUGCGAAGGCAGCUCACAAAACUGUAACUGACACUGAGGCACGAAAGCGUGGGAGAAACAGG